rnacentral:rRNA from 1 species
UGGGGAAUUUUGGACAAUGGGCGAAAGCCUGAUCCAGCAAUGCCGCGUGUGUGAAGAAGGCCUUCGGGUUGUAAAGCACUUUUGUCCGGGAAAGAAAUCCCCUGGGUUAAUACCUCGGGGGGAUGACGGUACCGGAAGAAUAAGCACCGGCUAACUACGUGCCAGCAGCCGCGGUAAUACGUAGGGUGCAAGCGUUAAUCGGAAUUACUGGGCGUAAAGCGUGCGCAGGCGGUUUUGUAAGACGGAUGUGAAAUCCCCGGGCUUAACCUGGGAACUGCAUUCGUGACUGCAAGGCUAGAGUAUGGCAGAGGGGGGUUAGAAUUCCACGUGUAGCAGUGAAAUGCGUAGAGAUGUGGAGGAAUACCGAUGGCGAAGGCAGCCCCCUGGGCCAAUACUGACGCUCAUGCACGAAAGCGUGGGGAGCAAACAGGAUUNGAUACCCU